AUGGAGUUGAAAUCCAUGGAGCUCAUGGCUACCUACUUGAACAAUUCAUGAAAGAUAAAGUGAAUGACAGAACAGAUGAAUACGGUGGAUCCCUCGAGAAUCGUUGUCGAUUUCCUUUGGAAGUUGUUGAAGCAGUUGUGAAUGAGAUAGGAGCAGAUAAAGUUGGAAUUAGACUAUCACCUUUUGCAGAAUAUGCAGAAAGCGGAGACUCCAAUCCCAAUGAAUUGGGACUUCAUAUGGUUAAUGCCCUCAAUAAGUACAAUAUUCUUUACUGUCACAUGGUGGAACCAAGAAUAAAAUCAGCUUCUGAAACGAUUGAAAGCCCUUACAGUCUGGUGCCAAUGAGAAAGGCUUUCAAUGGCUCUUUCAUGGCUGCAGGAGGCUAUGACAGACAAGACGGGAUCGAUGCUAUAGCUGAAAACAAGGCAGAUCUUGUAGUUUAUGGUCGUUUGUUCUUAGCAAAUCCAGAUUUGCCAAAGAGAUUUGCACUUAAUGCUCCUCUCAACAAGUAUAAUAGGGAGACAUUCUACAUUUCUGAUCCGGUUGUUGGUUACACUGACUAUCCCUUUCUUGAAUGAAGAAAACAAUGUUGUAUUGCAGCAUCCAAGGGUGGACCUCCAUAUUAAUAAGUUGUUUUUCUUCUUAUACAUUGGUUUUGCAGUGAAUUUGGUCACUUAAUUAAGAAUUUUGUUAAUUAUAGACAUAGUUAUAUUUUUUAUUCAUUCUUCUCAUACUAGCUUCUCUGCUAGGACACACAGUGUGUAGAACCAUUAUGUACCUGAUUUUUGUAAUACCAUUUGAGCUUUGUGUUAAUGAAAAGGAUUGUUGUAGUAACCAAAUUUUUUUAAUUGCUAUGCUAUGGUAACUACCGUGAUACUAAGAAUUGACAUUGUUAUUGAUUUUGAAAAUAUCUGUAGUGAAUUUGAUUCCUGAUUUACUCGGUUGAACCACAAAAUCUUCAAAUCGAAGCCUAAUUCAAGUACUUUCAAGUAUUGUUUCAACUUGAGAUAUAAUUCAGGUACUACUGAUUGUUUCGGUUUGAUAAGAAUCUUAUCAAUGUCAUGGUAACACCGCUAAACGGUGGUUGAAGCUUCGCACCUAUGGCAUGGUAACAAAAAAUAAGAAAAAGAACAAUCAUGGAAGGUUUACGAUCCCUUUCUUCGAAGGGGAAAAUAUGAAAGACCUGUGCUAUUAUAAUUUGUUAUGAAAAAUUUUGGUUUUGACUGACUGUAGAAGAGUCGUGCCAUGUAGAAUUUUUACAUUUCUUGUCCAAGUCUAACGAUAAGAAUUUUUCAAUAUGAAAACGAUAUAUACCAGUAAUGAAAGGAAAGGUCAGCAAAAAGCAUAAAUGCUGAUACUACUUUCCAGUUUUUAUAGUAUAUAAAAACAUAUCCUCCAACUUCGUAUUCAAGUGUAUAAGAAAAGUGUAUAUUUUCCUCAUUAUAUAUCAGUAUCAGUUCAUAAUUGAUUAACUAAUCAAAUGGAAAUUAUGGUUGGUGAUCCCAUUCCUCUUCUUACUCCUUACAAGAUGGGCAAAUUCAAUCUAUCUCAUAGGUAUAUAAUAUGUUUUAAUUCCAUUUAUUAUGCUUGCUUCAAACAUAUAUAAAGUUGUUUAAAAUAUUCACUACUCAUCCUAUUCAUUUGAUUUUAGAGUAGUUUUGGCACCGUUGACCAGACAAAGAUCAUACAACAACAUUCCUCAACAGCAUGCUGUCCUAUAUUACUCUCAAAGGGCCUCUGAAGGUGGUCUUCUCAUAUCUGAAGCUACCGGGGUCUCUGAAACUGCUCAAGGGUAACUUGCAAUUAAUACAAACCAAUUUCAUAACUAUCUUUAACAAACUUCAACUAAUUAAUUCUAAUGUUAUAUAUGUGAAGGUCUUCAAACACACCUGGCAUAUGGACAAAAGAGCAAGUCGAAGCGUGGAAACCUAUCGUGGAUGCUGUUCAUGCCAAAGGUGCUACAUUCUUCGAUCAAAUUUGGCUUGUUGGUAGGGUUUCUAAUUCUGGUAUGCAUUUAGUUUAAUCAAAUUAGCAAUUAACUAACAAAUUUUUUGAUUUUUCAGUAUUUUUUUAGGUAGGAAUUGAAUUUUUGUUACAGAAUGAUAUUGAUUUAUGUUCACUAGUUUAAUUACAAAUUUACAUGUAUGUAUUCUACACAUUUAUUAUACACAUGUAAUAUUGUAUUCUCAUUUUCCAUAUAAUUCUAACCAGUUUAUCAACCAAAUGGACAAGCACCAAUAUCUUCUACAGACAAACUACUCACACCACGAAUUGGAGGCAAUGGUAUUGAAAUAUCACAAUUCACACCACCAAGGAGGCUAAGAUCAGAAGAAAUUCCUAAUAUUGUCAAUGACUUUAGACUUGCUGCAAGAAAUGCUAUUGAAGCUGGUAACUUCACCUAUCUUUACCAAUCUCUCCAAAAAUUCAAAAUGCUUCAAUAUAAGAGAGGCCGGAAUAACAACAUAAACUAAAUACGAAGAAAAAAAUCACAAAAUCCGAUGUCUCUAAGUUUUCAUCGUUAUUUUAACAUUUUAUAUCAGGAAGGCAUUUUGUGUACUAAUUAUGGUGCGCAUUGUAGUUUUGAUGGGGUUGAAAUUCGUGGGGCUACUGGAUACCUACUUGAGCAAUUCAUGAAAGAUAAAGUGAAUGACAGAACAGAUGAAUAUGGUGGAACUCUUGAAAACCGUUGUAAAUUUGUUUUGGAAAUUGUUGAAGCUGUUGUAAAUGAGAUUGGUGCCGAAAGAGUUGGAAUAAAACUAUCACCUUUUUCAGAUUUCGAAGAAUGUGGAGACUCAAAUCCGAAGGCAUUGGGGCUUUACAUGGUUAAUGCCCUCAAUAAAUAUGGUAUUCUGUAUUGUCAUAUGGUAGAAUGAAUAAGUAAUGAAACUAUUGAUGAUAAAACAAAAUGUCUUCACAACUUGGUGCCAGUGAGAAAGGCUUUCAAUGGCACUUUCAUGGUUACCGGAAGCUAUGAAAGACUAGACGGGAUCAAUGCUAUAGCUGAAAAUAGGGUAGAUCUUGUUGCUUACGACCGUUUAUUCAUAGCUAAUCCAGAUUUGCCAAAGAGAUUUGCACUUAAUGCUCCCCUAAACAAGUAUAAUAUGGAGACAUUCUGCACUUCUGAUCCAGUUCUUGGUUAUACCGACUACCCUUUUCUUGAAUGAAUAAACAUAUGUUGUACUUGUAGCAUGUAAGGGUGGCCACAUUUUUGCAAUAAAGUUGGUAAUUGAAUGUUUGAAUUGAUGGUGGAUUUUCAGAAUCAUAAUGAAUAAUCGUGAUUCAGAUAAAAACUACACUUUUUAAUAUCAACUAAAUCACGGUGUUGUCACAAUUUGACCUAACUCACCGCACAUUUCAACAUGCAUUUGGCCCUUAUAUAGCCUUUUACACACUUUCUUACACUACAAGUAAACUUCUAAUUGCAAUGAAUCCUAAUAAAAUCCUCCCCUAAACUGAAUACUGCUAUAGCAGAUCAGUUUACACAAGCAACAACAAAUCAAUCUAGGAGGAUUCACGUAGUGGUAAAAAGAAACAUAGAAUAUGUUCUUACUGUGAGGAAAAAUGAUUGUACAUUCAUUGAAAUGUGAAAUACAAAGAAUGAUACUUAUUUAUAGUAAAGUAUCUAAGUAAUUAGAGUUGUCUUGCAUUGCAAGUAACCUCUACUAAACAAGCCCUAAUUACACUAAAACAUUAUUGAAACUUAAGCACAAAAUAUAAACCUUCUAACACUUACAUCACAUGAGUCAAAUUGGACUGCUAAUUAAGGUCAAAGGCAAGAAUGCAACGUAACAGCAAACGUUAGCAAGAGCCAAGAAGCAUAAAGGCCCACAACCUCUUUCAUAGCCAUAUUAUUUCAACAUCAAAAUAAGUGCAGUACUAUACUAGGGUUCACACUUCAACCUUACACACAUAAUACAAUGUCCUAUCAAUUGAUUUAAGUUCAUGUAUCAAAAAACUAACACUUUACAUGUUUAUUUUUAUUUCUCUCUUGCUUUUUAUCUUUAAAUUUUUACACAUAUUUUAAAAUAUACUCGACACAAUCCUGUAUUUGAUAACAAUAUUUUUAUACUCAAUCAUUUUUCGUCAAGUUUUAGUAUAAUAUAUUUCAUUUACUUUGGUUACUUCAAAGUUCAAACAUAUAAAAUUGUUUAAAAUAUCCACUAACCCUGUGUGUCUAUGUCUAAUAAUAUAUUAAUUUUAAUUUUAGAGUACUUUUGGCACCAUUGACCAGACAAAAAUAGUAAUAGUACAACAACGUUCCUAAAAAACAUGACAUCCUCUAUUACUCUCAAAGGUCCUUUAAAGUCGGUCUUCUCAUAGCAGAAGCAGCCGGGGUCUCUGAAACUUGCUAACAACACUCUUCAAUUUCUUUAUUCCUCUUCAUGCUUUGAUCAAGACAAAGAUUAGUCUUAUAAGCCAAUUCCAUCGCUUUCAUACCUUAAAACUCAAAUCCAUCGCUUUCAUAUAGCCGGCUAAAUUGUUUUUAAUUACGCAAUCACGUUACCAAGAUGAAGCACAAACGUGGAGAUUUGACUUUUCACAACUUACUUAUCAAUAAGACAAAAAAGAAUAUCCACUUCCGGAACAUAUCAUAUAAAGUAAGUAGUGAUGUUCAAAAUGAAACAAACCCAAUAUAAAAAUUGCAAAUCAAACUAAUCUAAAUCGAAAUUGCAAAAAACUGCAUUUGAUUUGGAUGUAUUUUGAUCACUUUCUUACUUAACUACAUGGUUUGGUUUGGUUUGGAUUUUAUUUCAAAAGUCAAUCGGACCAAACCAAACCGCAUGUUUUUUUAUCUUAUGUUUGGAUGAUUUUUAUUCUCAAAGCCGAACCAAACCAAACCGCGAACCGCUGGUAUAAAUAUAGAUCCACCAAACGAACUCCCUUCAACUUGAACCGCAUAUUUUUCAUCAAAAGAGGGAGAAAAAAAAUUGAACUUCAUAUUUUGCCUUUUGAACUGUUAGUGAUCAUUGUAAUUUAUUUAAAUGGGUAUCAAAAUGGAAGGUACUAACAUCACUGAUCCAAUUCCUCUUCUUACACAUUACAAGAUGGGCAAAUUCAAUCUAGCUCAUAGGUACAUAGUAUUUCUCUUGCUAUUAGAAUUCAUUUCAAUGUUUUUCUCUUGCUAAAUAAUUUCACAUAAUUUCAGAGUUGUUUUGGCACCGCUAACAAGAAUGAGAUCAUACAACAAUGUUCCUCAAACCAUUGCUGUCGAGUAUUAUUCUCAGAGAACCUCUAAAGGAGGCCUUCUCAUAGCUGAAGCUACUGGUGUCUCAGACACUGCUCAAGGCUAUCCAAACACGCCAGGUAUAUGGACUAAAGAGCAUGUUGAGGCGUGGAAACCUAUUGUAAAUGCGGUUCAUGAUAAAGGCGGUAUAUUUUUCUGUCAAAUUUGGCAUGCUGGAAGGGUUUCAAAUUCAGGUAUGUAUCUAUUUCGUCAUAUCAUUAUUUAUUAUGUAAAUAAAUGUGACCGGAAGGUCUAACCAUCUGUGUCAACCUCAAUUGGCUAAGAUCAUCAAUUUUUAACAUAGACCUAGCAUAAUUUUAGCAUUACCUAGCUCAAAUAUAACAUGCUCAAAGGCGGUAUAUUUUUCUGUCAAAUUUGGCAUGUUGGAAGAGUUUCAAAUUCAGCUAUUUAUUUAUUUGCUCUAAUCAUUAGUAUUUUUUUUUUCCUUUGAUAAAAAUAAAAUUUUGAUUAGGUGACACACUUCCAAUUCAAAACUGGUGUGAACGGAAUGUUUAACUAUAUGUGCCUACACCAAUUGGUUCAAAUCAUCAGCUUUUAUUUAACAUAGACCUAUUAUGAGUUUAACAGGCCGUGUGUUAUUUUUUCUAGUCAUUUUUUUUGUCAAAAAUACAAAAUUUGAAGCAAUUUGUUGAAGAAAGUAGUAAUGGAAAAUAGAAUACUCACUCACUGUAUGUUCAUGUUCCUUCCUUGUUAACCCAACAGUUUAUCAGCCGAAUGGACAAGCACCGAUAUCUUCUACAAACAAGUCACUCACAAGCGAUGAUGUACAACAAUUCACGAAACCGAAACCGAGAACAAUUGCACUUUUGGACCCCUAUCUUUCCAAAAGUUGCGGUUAUGGACCCUUAACUAAUUUAAAUACAAAACAGCCCCCUAUGUUUUGAUUCUUUGGCAGUUUUAGACCAGAUAUAUGGCUGCUUCUUCGAUGACCAAGAUAUAGCACCUGAACCAAACAUGAAGACAUAGCCUGAAGUAGAUCUCCUCCAUAGUCAGAAUUUGACCAUCCCUAAUUAAGUACUCUCUUAGUUGCAACUAAUUGUAUUUCAGUUGGUCUAUAUAUAGAUAUAUAGCUAUCAGAAACAUUGAGAAUGUGAGAUCAGACAUAGUAUAAAUUAAAUACAUUAGGCACCCCACCAUCUGCUUAUACUUUGUUGUGUCCACUGCUCUAUCGUUUUCAUCUCUAGCUAGCUAGCUUGCUUUCUGGGACAAUAUGACUGCAUACCAUGUUGCAAUGUUCCAUGCUAAACCUUGUUAAAAUCUCUUUGGCAUAUUUCUUAGUCUCUCUCGUUUAUGAAUUUCUUAAACAAUUCAAAAUUAAUGUCUCGUUUAAAAACUCUAAAAUUUUAUGGUGAAUGUUCUUAUGUAGUUCUAACUAUUCUUACAAAAUUAGGGAACGAAAUUUGACCUACGCUUACUCCGAACAAAAUUGCAAUUUUGCAUGUUUUGGUUGAAAACUAAAAUUAAAUUUAAACUUCUUCAAAAUGUUAUGAAACUUUGCAAAUCCUUUUUAUGUAUUUUUAUAGUUGUCGCUGCGAACAAUCAACUCAAAAUUUGAUUUCUAGGUCGAGAUGUUUUGUUUUGAUUUUUGAGAUUUUAGCGCUUUAAAAAUUCAUAAAUAAUCCGACCCUAAUCGAAAAAUUCUAAUUUUUUGUGUAAAGCCAUGUUUUAAUGUCCAAAUCAUGUCGGAUAAAAAUCAUGAAAUUGAAUCGCUUUUUUGGACUUCUUGGGCUUCGUGUAUAUUAAAUAUUAAAUGGACAAGAACCAACAUCUUCUGCAAGCAAGCUACUUACACCACAAAUUGGAGGUGAUGCUGUUGAAAUAUCACAAUUCACAAUUCAAAUUGAUCUAUACAAAUCUCUCCAUAAUUCAAAUUGAUUUAAUAUAAGAGACAAUUGAGCAAAAUAACGACAGAAGUUAGAGACGUAGAAAUAAAAUUGCUCAUUAAAUUUGGCUUGCAAUAAAAUAGUUACUGAUUUCACCUUUUCUAACUCAAAAUCUUCGUUACUAUUUCAACUUUUUUAUGAUAGUACUCCAUUUUAGAUACUUGUUGUGCUGCAAAUUGUAGGUUUUGAUGGGGUUGAGAUCCAUGCUUGGGGCUCACGGCUACCUUCAUGUAAGCAUUCAUAAUUAAUACGUCCCUAGUCUUAUUUUUUUUUUAUAGACAUAUUUUAACGUAAACUUUUCUGAAUUACGCGUAUAUUAUAGUAUAGAGUCAAAAAUAAGAAGAAUUUCAAAUUACAAUAUUAAAAUAUGUGUUUUUUAUUUUAGAGAUCAUCUUCAUUGAGUCAAUUUCAACGAUUGACGCGAUGCAAUAUGAUAAGAUUUAUUGAUUCAAUUUUGAAAAAUUAGUUUGUGAAUGAUGCAAUGCAUUACAACCACAAAAAUUCAUGACAAAAUGUGAAUGACGAUAAGAUGGAGAAAUCGUACCACAGCAUAAUCAACAUCACCACACACAUACACAAUCAUGCUAUAAAUAUAGAUGCACCCUAUCAACCCCCUCUCAAAAUUUAUUCAGUUAUCACAUUAAUUUGAUUUAAUUGGUAUCAAAAUGGAAGCUGAUCCCAUUCCUCUUCUUACACCUUACAAGAUGGGCAAUUUCAGUCUCUCUCAUAGGUACCUAUUAUACUUUCAAUUUCAAUGUUAUGUUUAUUUCACUUUCUAUUCAAUUUCAAUAUCAAUAUCAAUGCUUACCUUGUCUUGCUAAUUAACCUCCCAUUUUCAGAGUUGUUUUGGCACCACUCACUAGAAUAAGAUCAUAUGGCAACGUUCCUCAACCUCAUGCUGUCCUCUAUUACUCACAGAGAGCAUCCAAAGGUGGUCUUCUCAUAGCUGAAGCUACCGGUGUCUCUGACACUGCUCAAGGGUAUCCAGACACACCAGGUAUAUGGACUAAAGAGCAUGUCGAGGCGUGGAAACCUAUUGUGGAUGCUGUUCAUGCCAAAGGUGCUACAUUCUUCUGUCAGAUUUGGCAUGUUGGAAGAGUUUCUAAUUCUAGUAUGUAUUUAAUUUUAUCUAAUGAGCAAUUAAUUGACAUAUUUUUCUAAUUUUUCAAGUAUUACUUUUAGGUGGGAAUGAAAUUUUUGUUAGAGAUGAUACUUAUUUUAUAGGUCAAAAUGCAUCUAAAGGUUCUUUUAAGUUUUUUCGUUUUUCCCAAAGUCGUCCUUUAAGUUUCAAAAGUCCCAAAGUGAUCCUUUAAGUUUCAAAAGUCUCAAAUAAGUUUUUUUAGUUUUUGAAUCGUUUCAAACAAGUCCUUUUAGAGGAUGAUGGUGAUGAUACAGAUGAUAGCAACAAAGAGCAUCCACCAUUUGCCAUGCUUAAAAAGAUGAGUAAUUUUAAGUGGGUGUUAGGAGCCAGAUUUGGUACCAAGGAUGAGUUCAAGGAAGCAAUUACCAACUAUGCUAUCUACAAUAGGACUUGUUUGAAACAAUUCAAAAACUAAAAGGACUUGUUUGAGACUUUUGAAACUUAAAUGACCACUUUGAGAAAAAUGAAAAACUUAGAGGACCUUUAAAUACAUUUGACCUAUUUUAUAUUCGCCGGUUUAAUUAAUUACAUGUAUUGUAUAUAUUUAUUAAACACAUUUAUAUACAUACACUCUCAAUAUUAUAUGCCUAUAUUACAUACAGUUUGUCAACCAAAUGGGCAAGCACCAAUAUCUUCAACAAACAAACUACUCACACCACAAAUUGGAGGUGAUGGUUUUCAAAUGCCACAAUUCACACAACCGAGGAGGCUAAGAACAGAAGAAAUUCCUAAUAUUGUCAAUGACUUUAGACUUGCUGCAAGAAAUGCUAUUGAAGCUGGUAAAUUCAUUUUUCUUAAAUUUCUCCAUAGUUCAAUUGAUUCAAUUUAAAAGUAUGAACAGAAAUAAUGACGUAAAUUAGAGAGAUAAAAAUUGUUACAAAGGUAUGACAUCUCUAACAUUUUUUCUACUUUGAAUUUUACUCUUUAGUUUAACUUACUAUAAUAGGAGGACAUUUUACAUACUUGUAUGGUGCAAAUUGUAGGUUUUGAUGGGGUUGAAAUCCAUGGAGCUCAUGGCUACCUAGUUGAACAAUUCAUGAAAGAUAAAGCAAACGACAGAACAGAUGAAUAUGGUGGAACCCUUGAAAAUCGUUGUAGAUUUGUUUUGGAAAUUGUUGAAGCUGUUGCAAAUGAGAUAGGUGCAGAAAGAGUUGGAAUAAAAUUAUCACCUUUUGAAAAAUUUGGAGAUUGUGGAGACUCAAAUCCCCAAGAAUUGGGACUUUAUAUGGUGAAUGCCCUCAAUAAAUAUGGUAUUCUUUAUUGUCAUAUGGUGGAACCAAGAAUGGAAAUUCUUGAUGAGAAAACUGAAUGUCAUUAUAGCUUGGUGUCAAUAAGAAAGGUUUUCAAUGGAACUUUUAUGGUUACUGGAGGCUAUGAAAGACAAGAUGGAAUCAAUGCUAUAGCUGAAAAUAGGGCAGAUCUUAUUGCUUAUGGUCGUUUGUUCAUAUCUAAUCCAGAUUUACCAAAGAGAUUUGCACUUAAUGCUCCUCUUAACAAGUAUAAUAGGGAGACAUUCUACACUUCUGAUCCAGUUAUAGGUUAUACUGACUACCCUUCUCUUGAAUAAUUAAACAUAUGAUGUAGCAUCCAAGGGUGCCUACAUUUUUUGCAAUAAUUGUGUCACUGAUAGUUUUAGGUCCCGUGAAGGGAACUUGUAAGAAAUAUAUAUAUAUAUAUAUACCAAAAUAUUUAGCCAUUGAAAUGAGAAUUUUGAUGCUCAUGUUUUUAUAUGUAUUCUUCUCAUACUUUUCUGCUGGGACAAUGCAAAGUCAAUGCUAUGUAGCUAAUAUUUUUUAAUCCCAUAUACGAGCUUUGUGCUAAUAAGAGAGUUAAAUUUAGUAUUGGAAACUUUUCCUUAGAUAUUGCAAUUGAGAAAAAGUCUAAUAUAGUCACGAUCCAAAUCAAAAAGAUUUAGACACAUUCACAUAAAAUAAAAAAUAAAAAAAUAAAUCAGUCAUAUCAAUUAAUUUUAUUUUUAUUUAAAUUUUUCUAUGUCUUGUGAGUGUGCCCAAAUCAUUUUGAUUUAGGGUUGUGCCCAUCUUAGACUUUCUCUGCAAUUGAAUGUUUGAAUUAGUGGUGAAACAUCGGAAUCAUGGUAAAUCCUUGUUAUUUUAGUAAAAAAUAUAUAUACACUAAAUUUGUAAGUUGUAACCGCCACCGUACGUACUAACAUUUUCCAACUAAUCAUAAGCAUCAUUUUAGUACCCAAUACUAUUUUUUCACUAUCUUUUAAAAAGAAGUUUAGAAAAGAAAGUGCGAAAUGUUUUUUAAUGGUAAAUGUUAGCGAUUAAUUUGUAAAUUAAUAUUUCUUCAUUCGUUUAAAUUUGAAUUCAAGACUUUCAACUAUUUAUCUCUUAGUUCAAACCAGUUGAGUUACCUAACUCUCUAUAUAACUUAAAUGUGUAAUUGAUAUUCAUUGCCCCACGUUUAGUGAGACAUUUGCAUGUCUAGCUUUAACAAAUCACAGUGAAAUGAGUUUUGAGACACAAGAAUCAUGGUUUAGAAGUGGAACCGAACAUGCCAUAAAUCAAUAACAUAAACUAAAAGGGAAAAGAAUGAAUCCCAGUCAACCUGAAAAAAAAUUGUUUUAGUACAUUGGGGAUACAAAUCUUUCCAAAUAUGAAUGGAAGAGAUCAAACCUAAACGGGUUAUUAGAGAGGUAUAUAUAGAAAUAUAAUUUUUUAUUUUUUUUAAGACUCACCGGUAGGUUGCCAUUUGUAAAUCUAAGCCGUUGAAUUUUAAACUAUUAAAUUAAUAGUAAAUGAGCAAAUUGAAUCACUUUUUUUUUUUGAGAAAAACUGAAUCACUUGUACACUCUAAAUUAUAAAAGCCACCCUAUAUAUAACUUAUUAAAACAAAAUAAAAAGGCUGGUACAUUUGUCAAGAAAGAAGAGUGGUAAAUAUAUACAAUAUUUUUAAUGGAGAGGUAAAUAAGAAAGAGUAUGUUAACUUAUGUUCUAAGACACAUGUUAAAAUAUUUAAGUUACAUAAAAAUUAAAAAUAUAUAAAAAACAAUUUUUGAACUUUAUUAAAAAGGAUGCCAUACAAUAUUAGCAAGUAUUUUUAGAGCAUUGUUUAAGUCUUUAAAAGUAGUAACUUUUAGGUUUAAUUGCACUUUUGGACCCCUAUCUUUUCAAAAGUUGCGGUUAUGGACCUCUAACUAAUUUAAAUACAAAACAGCCCCCUAUGUUUUGAUUCUUUGGCAGUUUUGGACCCCCAGUCCAUUGUUGACUCGGUCAACGCUGACGUGGCACCCUAAGUGAGGUGUCACGUGUCAAUUUUUUUUUUUUUUGUCUUGGGGGUCCAAAACUGCUAAAGAAUCAAAACAUAGGAGACUGUUUUGUAUUUAAAUUAGUUAGGGGUCUAUAACCGCAACUUUUAGAAAGAUAGGGGUCCAAAAGUGCAAUUAAGCCUAACUUUUACAUAGAAAAUUGUGUAACUAUGACUUUCAUAUGGUUUGACUUGUAUUUUUAAGGCAAAAUUUCCAUUUAUGUGUGUGACUUGUACUCCUUCCGUUUCCCAAUAUUUGUCGUUUUUGGAGAAUAAAUUUGCUUCACUUUACUUGUCUGUCUCUCUCAAGUUUCAAUGCAACAUUAAAUAUUGGUUUGUUAAUAAUAUUUUGGGUUAAAUAUGUUUUUGGUCCUUAUAAAUAUGUCAACUUUUUGUUUUAGUCCCUCUAAAAUUUUCCUUCAACUUUUAGUCCCUAUAAAGUUUUCAAUCUUCACUUUUGGUCCAUCUUUUAAAGUAAACUCAUAUGUAGAAUUCAUAUUAUUUAAUAAAAUUUUCCAGAAAAAUUCAAAAUAUUAUAAGAAUCACUCCAAAAAAAAUUCAGAAUUUUUUAACAAAACAUGAAUUUAAUAUGAAUUUUUAUAUUGUUUAUGGUUAAAAAUUCAUAUUUAAUUUGUGUUUUGUUAAAAAAAAACUAAUUUUUUUUAGGAAUUAUUUUUAGAAUAUUUGACACAUUUCUGCACAAUUUCAUUAAAAAAUACAAAAAUUAAAUUAUAAAUAGGGACCAAAAGUAGUGAUUGAAAAUUUUAUAGGGACUAAAAGUUGAAGGAAAAUUUUAGAGGGACUAAAACGAAAAGUUGACAUUUAUAGGAACCAAAAACAUAUUUAACCCUAAUAUUUUUACCUAUUUAUUGUAGAGAGAAAUAAUAUAAUGAAAUAAUAAAUGAUCAAUAGUAUUAUAGAAAAACACAAAGAAUUUCAUUAAAAAUAACAAAAUUUAUUCAAUUUCUUAGUAUGUGUAAUUUUCUCAAAAGUGAUAAGUAUUGUGAAACAGAUUGAGUAUUUUCAAGGCAAAAUUUCUUUUUAUGAGUUUCUUAAACAAUGCUCUUAAGACACUUGUUAGCAAGAUACUCCCUCCGUUUCACAAUACUUGUCACUUUUGGAGAAUAAUUUUAUUUCAAUUACUAUCACUUUCAAGUUUCAAUGCAACAUUAAUUAUUAGUUUGUCAAUAAUACUCUUAUUUAUUUAUUGUAGAGAGAAAUAACAUGAUGAAAUAAUAAAAGAGAAUGUUAACAAGUGUCUUGAGGGAAUUGGUUAAGUAUCCAAAACAAAUAAGUUUUUAUGAAAAAAUUAUGUAAUCAUUAUUUGAUUAAAAGUAACAUAUUAUAUUUCCAUGACGAUAUUUCUAUUUAUAAAUAAUGCAUUUAUUUCCCUUAGUCAAUUUACAUAUAUGUCCUCAGCCUCGGUGGCUUGAAUUGAUUCGUACUGUAGCAUCCAAUUCCAUCCGGCACGCAUUAUUAAAAUAAUUGACUAAAGGAAAUGUCUCAGCAGUGGGUGCAAGUUGAUGGUGUACGCUUUAGUCUCUCUAGUGGCGGUGGGAUAAAUUCACAAGUUAUUCUUUUAAUCUUUAUGAUCACACGACUAAAUUGUCGACAGCGAUCUACAUUUUGUAAUAAUUAAAAAGAAAAUUGUCAAUCCUUCUAAUUUAACUAAGGGAAAUAAAUGUCUCUUAUCAAGAAAAGUGUUACCCUUCAAAUUAAAAAAAGUAUCUUUCAUGUGUGACUAGAAUUAUCACCGAUCCAUAAUAUUUUGUGUGGUGAUUUCAUUAGUCACCUACUUCUACGAUCAGCAACAAUGGAGUAGUAUUUUGUGAUCAAAAGUAGUCAAAUUGGACUGCGGUGAGGGACCAACUCCAAUGUCAGAGAGAACAUGCAACGCAAUCGCACACGUCACAAUCAACAAUUAUAAACACAAAAGCCGCCACCACUUUCCACUUAUAGUCACUAUAUAUAAAUUACUUACUUCAAUUUAAACUUCACAUUCCAUUCUGUAUCACUUUAAUCAAGUAAUCAAGUAAAAACUAAUAAUGGCUGGUAUUGUUGAAUCUGAUCCAAUUCCACUUCUCACUCCUUACAAAAUGGGAAAAUUCAAUCUAUCUCAUAGGUAUUUUAAUUAUCUUUUCAUUCAUUUAUUCCAUUGCAUUUCAAAGUGCAUCUCAAAUAUAUCAUAUCACUCACUAUGUGUUACUGUAAUUUACUCAUUUCAUUUCAGAGUUGUUUUGGCACCACUCACAAGAAACAGAUCCUAUGGCAAUGUUCCACAACCUCAUGCUAUCCUCUAUUACUCUCAGAGAGCAGCCGGUUCUAACGGAGGUCUUCUCAUAACCGAAGCUACCGGUAUAUCUGACACCGCUCAAGGGUAUCCAGACACGCCAGGUAUUUGGACUAAAGAGCACGUCGAGGCGUGGAAACCUAUUGUGGAUGCUGUCCAUGCCAAAGGUGCUACCUUCUUCUGUCAGAUUUGGCACGUUGGAAGAGUUUCUGAUACUGGUAUGUUUUAUUUCUUCAAAUUAUCCAAGUUUCUUUGCAUGAAGAUACAUGCCUGAAAUAAUUUUGAAAAGACAUAAAACAUAAAUGAGGGAUUUUUAUUGAUUUCAACUUCUUUGAUGUUGCUUGACCUGCAUCUAUCUGUUCUUUUCCCCAACUAUAGUUUUUCAGCCGAAUGGACAGGCACCAAUAUCUCCUACAGACAAGCCACUCACACCACAACUUCGAAGUAAUGGUAUUGAUGUCGCAGAAUUCACACCGCCCAGACGGCUAAGGAUAGAUGAAAUUCCAAACCUUGUCAAUGACUUCAGACUUGCUGCAAGAAAUGCUAUUGAAGCUGGUAACAAUACUAAUCUUUACAAAUAUCUCCAAAAUUAAAAAAUUCUUCAAUGUACCAUAAUACAAUUUUGCUUUAGAGGGCACUAGGACAUUUUACAAUUCUGUAACAUACUCAUUGGGGGUGCAAAUUGCAGGGUUUGAUGGGGUUGAAAUCCAUGGGGCUAAUGGCUACAUACUUGAGCAAUUCAUGAAAGAUCAAGUGAACGACAGAACAGAUGAAUAUGGUGGAUCCCUUGAGAACCGUUGUCGGAUUGUUUUGGAAGUUGUUGAAGCUGUUGCAAAUGAGAUAGGUGCAGAUAGAACUGGAAUUAGAUUAUCACCUUUUUCAGAAUAUGCAGAAUGUGUAGACUCUAAUCCCAGAGAAUUGGGACUUUAUAUGGCUAAUGCCCUCAAUAAAUAUGGUAUUCUUUACUGUCAUGUGGUGGAACCAAGAAUGAAAACUGUUAAUGAAAGAAUUGAAUGCUCUCACAGCCUUGUGCCGAUGAGAAAGGCCUUCAAAGGCACUUUCCUGGCUGCAGGAGGUUACGACCGAAAUGAUGGGAUCAAUGCCAUAGCUGAAAAUAGGACAGACCUUGUUGUAUAUGGUCGUUUGUUCUUAGCUAAUCCAGAUUUGCCGAAGAGAUUUGCACUUAAUGCUCCUCUAAACAAGUAUAACAGGGCGACAUUCUACACUUCAGAUCCAGUUAUAGGUUAUACUGACUACCCUUUUCUUGAAUGAAGAAACCAGUGUUGUAGCAUCAAAGUGUGGAAUCUCUUCACUAAAUAAGUUCAAUACCCCUUUGCUAAUUGCUUUCUGCUAUUGAUUCCUCUCAUGCUUAGUCUGAUAAUGCUUUGGAGUUUGGAGCCAGCUCACACAUUUUGUAAAUGGUCAGGAAAACAUAGUAUGUAAGAGUAAAACUACUUUUGUAUGUGAUAAAGUCACUGUAUGCCAAAAAGAAGUUUACCUGAUUUUACAAAAUUACAAUACGCGUUUUGUGCUAACAAGAGGAUUAUUUCCAUUGUCUCGUCUUUGUUUCUUCAAUCAAUCCAUGUGUCUUUUAGAUGUUGAUGGUAUAAAUAACUAAAAUGAUGGAAACAUGAUCAAAAUUAUUUUCUGUUUAUUGGGUUAAAAUACCAAUGGUAAGCCGAAAAUAUGCAACCGAUAUAUUCCAAAUGCAAAGCUUUGCACAGCAGAAUUUUGAUCCAAGUCUAAAAUUGUAGCUUUCAUGCAUAUAGGAAGACAUAAAAUUCAUACAAAUACUUCAACUGCCUGGUCCUCGUUUCUAUAUCCCUACUUGCAAAGUUUUCAACUGUUGUAUCCCUAAUGCAGGAACUUGAAACACUCUAGGCAAGACUUCCACAUUGUAGCAAACCAAAGUUUGAACCUUAGCUGUGAUGUCUGCCACACUUCGAACCACUUUUGGCCUUGGGCCCUCUUUUGUACCAAAAAGAAAAAAGUAUUGACACACAAAUCCUUCCAAAUGAAUGGAAGAGAACGACUCCCUCUCAAAGCAAGCCGCCACUUUCCAUUUAAGUGUCAAUAUAAAAUUAGUAAAAUUAUUACAAAUCUUCAACUUUAUAUAGUUACUUUUCCAUCAGAAACAAAUCAUUCUUAUGGAAGUGAUUCAACAUUUCCUUUGUCACAAGGUAGGUGUAAUGUAUCUUGUAGUCGUUCGUGUCAUUGCCAACUAGUAGUAUGAUGUUAUAUGUACAAUAUGUUUCACCCUUUGAGUAGAAUCAUUAUAAUUUAAAGGGAAAAAAAUGGUUGAAAACCCCUAUUAAAUCUGAUAGCGUAACGACCGGAUCCAACCACCACGAUUUGUACAGUUCAAUUAUAUAUAUUAACGUAUUUCAAUAGAUAUGAUAAAAAUGAAAAGGGAAUAAGUUGAGAGAAGAAAAAAUGUAAGAAGGAAACAUAAAAUGAUGUGAGAGAUUAAGAAAUGAGGGUAUGUAUUUAUAGUAUUUAUAGAAUUUUUACUAAGGUGCUGUUUGACCCGACUUUUUUUCAACUUUUCUGCAUUUUUAAGGAGAAGUUAUGUCAAACACAAUAUCAAUUAAAUUUAUGUUAUUAUUUCUCCUAUUCAAAUAUUUAACAAGUCAUGAUACAAAUUUGUAUUCAUGUUACAUAAAAUAAAAGUCAUUGAAUAAAUAUAAUAUUUGUAAAAAAAAAAUCUUUUAUAUUUUAAAUAUUUUUACCCUUCAGAACAUAUUUUAAACAUUUUUUUAUUUAUAAUGUUAAUUCAUAAUAAAUUCAAAGUUUUAUCCUCGUGGGCUUAGCUCAGUUGAUAGGGAUAAUGCAUAAAUAUAUGCAAAGUUCGGGGUUCGAACCCGAACACCAUAAAAUAAAAAUAAUAAAUUCAAAGUUUGUACAAUAUUUUGUCAAACAAUUUUUAACUUAAAAAUAACUCUAAAACUAAAAAAAAAAAAAAAUACAUAGAAAAAACCAAACAACUUUAGCUUAGAAAACUACAUCUCAAGUCCCGCUUGUAGGGAUGGCAAUGGGUACCCAAUGGGGGGUACUACAGUGUCCGUCCUCAUACUCGCAUUUAUAAAAAAUACCCGUGCCCGUACCCUCGUGGGCAACAACUUUAGUCCCCUUCCCCAUAUCCUAUGGGUACCUAAUUGCCCAUACCCGCACCCAUUACACGCACUUUAACUAUGAAAAAACAAAAAAAAACAUCACAAAUGAAAUAAAACUACGAUCCCAAUUUUUUAAAAUUAACUCAUAAAAUAAUAUGAAUCGUGGUAUUUAGUCAAAUAGAAAACAUUCAAAAUAUCCCUAAAAAAUUAUACACCAACAGGCAUGAUAGAGUUGUUAUUGUAUUAAGCAGUUGUUUGGUUUAAGUUUAGGUUUAAGCUUAAAUAGCUAAAUUAAUUAAUUAAUUAAUUAUACAUAAAAAAUAAUAAAUAAAUAAUUUAUGAUAUUAUAUAAACAUGUAUAUGCGAGGUUGUGGGUCUGGGCAAUAUAGUACUCUUAUUCGUGUCCAUACCCAUUUAAUUUUGUAGGUAUUACCCGUACCCGUGCUCAGACUCAUAAAAGUGGGGUUUUAUCCUACCCAUUGUGGGUAUUUUUUGCGGGUACCUAUUGAAUCUGGGUCCAAUUGCCAUCCCUACCCGCUUGUGACAUAUAAUAAGGGAAAAAAAAAAUCAGCUUUUUAGUAUGUCGCAAGGCAGAGGGGUUGCAUGUCGCAAGUUGAAAAAAAGUAUGGUAGAGUUGGAAGAAAAAAAAUAAACUAGGGUAGUGUUAUUUUUUAGGAAACAACUAGGGUAGUUUUAGAAUUUUGUUUUUAAAGCAGGGUAGAAAUUUUUUUCCUUCAGAUUUUGGUUGUGCAAUUUGUACUGUACUGUGCAUGGCAACCAACUAUGUUUUCAAUGAUAAGAAGAUCUAUGGUGCUGCUGCUGUUAUUCCCAAAUACAGCAAGUUUGCUCCUCUUAGUCGUCGUUUUGUUUCAACCCUGAUGCCGCGGCUGUCCCCUCUUUUCCUCGUGACUAUUGCGGUAAUUACUACAAUGCUAUCAAUACUUUCAAUAUACUGCUUGAUCGAGGCUACUCUUCCAUAUAGUAAUUACAAUUAUGUUCUUUCUACCCUUGCUAGAAUGGGUUCUUCCCGAGUUGUUGUCAUCCCAAUUCAAUAAUCGUCUUGUUGUCCCAAACAUUCAUCAUACUUUGACUAUUCUCAUCCAAUCCAUCCCACUCUAGAGCAGGUAACAUGUCUUCAGCUAUCGACUCAUUAUCCUACUACUCAAACUUUGAACGAUCUUUUAGAUUUUUUUUUGUCGUAGACACCAGAUUCACCAAGCAAUACAUUUUCUUAAUGAUAUCAUACUUACAAACAGUAAUCUUGUAUUGAACUGCCGUAGUUAUAGUAUUCUAAUGAGGUACCCAUCUUUCUUGUUUUAUGUUUGUUUGAUUAUAUAAAGAAUUGUAGUUUGCAAUGGAAUUUGAUACGUUUCUCCUCUAUUUUGGUGAGAGAUAAUUAGUCUUUUAAACCGAUCAUUCAAGACUGAAAUGAGAUGUUCAGGAUUUUCUCAAUUUCUUUAGGAUAACAGUUUCAAUUUCAUCCAUAGAAACACAAAUUAACAUUUCUAUAGGCUCCUAACUUGCGGUCUGCCCUAUUUCCACCCCUAGUUUUAAUGCAUAUAUACAAUUUAGCAAAUCAGUAUACUACUUUUAUAAUGGACAAAUAUAUUUUAUCAAUUCAACAUGCCAAGUCCGUGUUGACCUCAAUUCUCUAUUUCCUACUUUAAUACUUAAAGUUUAGAUGUUCAAUAAACAGCUUACAGGGCUGUGGGAACUAACCCUUAUCAUACAAAAUCUGUCUCCAAGUCUGGAGUAGUUUCUUAGUUAAUGUUUCAUUCAUGUUUUUAUUAAUUUUGAAACUUUAUUGUUUCUUAUUUUAUGCUUUGCACAUAAAUAUUAUAGGUGGAUAUGAAAUUUCCUUGGAAGAGAAUAAGACAAUAUAGUUAGUUCUAAAAUUGUUUUGGUUCAUCGCAUUGAAGGUAUGAAGUUUUUUUUUUUUUUUUUUUUUUUUUUUGAAUCUGAAUCAUGUUCUGAAAUGUUCCCUUAUUACUAAUAACUAAUAGAGGAUAAAUUAUAGAUCCAGAGUUGGAUUGACUAACCCUGUCUUGGUUAUAAAAAACCAACAGUAUCUACUGCACUUUCCUUCAAUAACAGGUUAGAAGUUUUUCAGAUUGAAAUUUUUGCCAUUAGAGCUGCAGUAGCAUUGUUAUUAAAAUCUUGAUCAGAAUUCUGAAAUACUACGAUUUGUUGUCUUGCCGAUCUUAAUCCUAAGUAGAAUUGUAAACUGCAAUAUCCGUUCGAAAUUGUUUAUGUUUAAGCGAUUUUGUGUUGCCUUAUAAUUGGCGCGUCCGUGAUGUGACGUAGACUUGUAGUUUUUAGAAUUUGAGUAUUUUGUAUACUUGGUUGUUUUGUAUUUAAGAUUUAAGAUUUGAGAUUUUAAGUCGAUUAUGUUUAAGCUUUGCCACUAGUUUGUUUUAUGUUUAAGAUUUGAGAUUUGGUUGUUUAAGUUUGCUUUAAGUUUUCAAACUCUUUAAGUUUAUUUUUUUGUUUUGAGAGAAACUCUUAAGUUGUUUAUGCACUUUACGGUAUAUAUUUAAUAUUAUUCGAGUAGAAUCUUUUGAUUUUGGUUGCGAUCUUGCUAUCGCCUUUCAAUUCUACAAAAUCAAUUGAGUAGAAUCCAUUAAUUUUGGUUGCGAUUUUAGGUUUUGCGAUUUAACUAUCCUCUUUGAUCAGAAGCAAAAUCUUAAUUUUAACGUUAGUGUGUAUAUGGAAGCCUUUCAACGUAUGUGACAUUGGGAGGGUCCUCAACAAAUCAGAAGCUUCAUGUAGAUGGUAAUGGAAUGUGGUUUGAAGGCAGAUGAAAAAACAUCUACUAUUACUUCUUCUUUUUUUGAAAGAAAACAUCUACUAUUACUAUUACUAUAUAUAUGCCUAAUUAGAAAAUAUAGUAAUGCAAUGGGAUUUUAGUUUACGUGAAUCUUAUGAUUUUUCUUAACAAAUGUCUAACUACUUUUACUAUAUGCCUAAUUAAAACGCCAAGCAACAACGUUUUGCCUUAAUUUACCAUUAUCUGCAAUCGUCUCUUCUUUUUUUUUAAUAUAAUUAGCUCCAAUAUCUCGCAACCACCUUAAGCACACCAAUCAAGUUCCACCAAAUGCACAUCACCAAUUAUUACUCUAGCAUACAAGUUUGGUCAUGGAAAAACCAAUCCAUCUAUGGCCAACAAUACUCAAGCAACAUAAAUACAUUAUAUAGCAGAUUCCACAAGAGUCGUCGUCGCUAAUCAUUUGUUGUAUAUUUUAGAUCACCGUCUCCCUCUAUUUCAGGUUGUUGUUGUUGAAAGACUACCAUAAAAAAUUCAUCAAGGUGUUUCUAAUAUCUAAUUUCUAAUAUCCUUAAUAAAUAAAUCAACUUUCAUAUGUUUAGUCCGCACUAAAGUAUAUAAAAUAAAACAUUGUUCUGUAUUGAUGAAAUAUAAACUAGUUCCAAAGGUUGCUAUAAUUAGUAAUUCAAUGAUCAGCACCAAUAAAUAUAUUUCGUAAAGAAGACUUCGUGAUCACAUUAGUCAAAUUGGACUGCGGUGAGAUACUAACUAUCUCCAAGGUGAGAGAAAGUACAACGUAAUACCUCACGUCACCAACAAGUAUAAUAAAUUAAUAAUAAACCGCCAUCACAUAAGUUUCACUAUAAAAUACUUCAACUACAACUACAACUUCACAUUCAAUUUCAAAUUGUGCAUCACUUAAUAACGUAAUCAAGUGAAAAUGGCUGGUAUUGUUGAAUCUGAUCCAAUUCCUCUUCUUACUCCUUACAAAAUGAGAAAAUUCAAUCUAGCUCAUAGGUAUUUUUAUCUUUUCAUAUAAUCUCAUAUUCAAUUUCAAGUGCUCAAAUGUUCACAUAACAAUUUACUCAUUUCAUUUCAGAGUUGUUUUGGCACCACUCACAAGACAAAGAUCUUAUGGCAACGUUCCACAACCUCAUGCUAUCCUCUAUUACUCACAGAGAGCCACCGGCUCUAACGGAGGUCUUCUCAUAACCGAAGCUACCGGUGUCUCUGACACCGCUCAAGGGUAUCCAGAUACGCCAGGUAUUUGGACUAAAGAGCAUGUCGAGGCAUGGAAACCCAUUGUGGAUGCUGUUCAUGCUAAAGGUGCUACCAUCUUUUGUCAGAUUUGGCAUGUUGGAAGAGUUUCUGAUUCAGGUAUGUUCUAUGAUACAUGCAAAGAAACUUCUAUCUCUUCAAAUUAUCCAAGUUUCUUUGCAUGAAGAUACAUGCCUAAAAUAAUUUUGAAAUGACAUAAAACAUAAAUCAGUGAUUUUGUUGAUUUGAACUUCUUUGCUUUUGAUUGACCUGCAAUGCAUCUAUCUGUUCUUUUCCCCCAACUACAGUUUUUCAGCCAAAUGGACAGGCACCAAUAUCAUCUACAGACAAGUCACUCACACCACAAAUUCGAAGUAAUGGUUUUAAUAUUGCAAAAUUCACACCGCCUAGACGGCUAAGGACAGAUGAAAUUCCUAACAUUGUCAAUGACUUCAGACUUGCUGCAAGAAAUGCUAUUGAAGCUGGUAACUUUACUAAUCUUUACAAAUGUCCAAAAUAAAUAAACAUAUAAAAUCUUCAAUGUAUCAUAGUACAAUGUUUGUGAUACAUAGAUCUUUUUGCUGCUUUAGAGAGCACUGGGACAUUUUACAAUUAUAUAACAUACUUACUAGGGCGCAAAUUGCAGGAUUUGAUGGGGUUGAAAUCCAUGGAGCUCAUGGCUACCUCCUUGAGCAAUUCAUGAAAGAUAAAGUGAAUGACAGGACAGAUGAAUAUGGUGGGUCUCUGGAGAACCGCUGUCGAUUUGCUUUGGAAGUUGUUGAAGCUGUUGCAAAUGAGAUAGGAGCAGAAAGAGUUGGAAUAAGAUUAUCACCUUUUGCGGAGUAUGCAGAAUGUGGAGACUCCAACCCCAAUGAAUUGGGACUUUAUAUGGUCAAUGCCCUCAAUAAAUAUGGUAUUCUUUACUGUCAUAUGGUGGAACCAAGAAUGAAAACUGUUGGUGAAAAAACUGAAUGCCCCGACAGCCUUGUGCCAAUGAGAAAGGCCUUCAAAGGCACUUUCAUGGUUGCAGGAGGUUACGACCGACAUGAUGGGAUCAAUGCCAUAGCUGAAAACAGGGCAGACCUUGUUGUAUAUGGUCGUUUGUUCUUAGCUAAUCCAGAUUUACCAAAGAGAUUUGCACUUGAUGCUCCUCUGAACAAAUAUAACAGGGAGACGUUCUACAUUUCUGAUCCAGUUCUAGGUUAUACUGACUACCCCUUUCUUGAAUGAAGAAACUGAUGCUGUAGCAUCCAAGUGUGGAAUCUCCUCACUAAAUAAGUUCAUUAUCCCUUGCAAAUUGAUUUCUGCUAUUGAAUUUGUCACUGAAAUAAGAUUUUGAGCAAUAUGUAUGUUAUUGAUUCCUCUCAGGCUUUACUCUUACUAACACUUUGGACCCAGUUCACACAUUUUGUAAAUGGUCAGGGAAUAUAGUAAGAGCAAAACUAUUGUUGUAUGUUACUGUGAUAAAGUCAAUGAAUGCCAAUAAGAAGUUUUCGAUAAAAACUAUGAACCUGAUUUUACAAAAUUACAACUUGAGUUAUGUAGUCAUAAGAGGAUUAUUUCCGUUAUCUCAUUUUUGUUACUUCAGUCAAUCCAUGUUUUUAUAGAUGUACUUAUAAGAUCUAAUUAAAUGUUUAAAUAACUAAAAUGAUGGAAACAUUAUCAAAAUUCCUUUCUGGUUAUUGGGUUAUGUAAGAGAGUAUGGACAAGAUACCAGUGGUAAGCUGAAAAUAUAAAACCGAUGAAUUCCAUACACUAAGAACUGCAAAACAGAAUUUUGAUCCAAAUUCAAAAUUGCAGCUUUUAUCAUGUGGUAAAUUAUUGGUAAAAAAACCUUUACAAAGAGUCUAAUGAAUUUCAAGACACCUAAAGCUAUGACCUCAGCAUGAAUAUCAGCUUUGAUGAAGUACAACUUGCAUGCUUUACCCAGCACCAAUAUCUCACAACCUCCUUAAGCACACCAAUAUCAAGUUCCACCAAACGCACAACACCAAUGAUUAUUAUUCUAGCAUACAAGUUUGCUCGUGGAGAAACCAAUCCAUCCGUGGACAACAAUACUCAAGGUCUCAAGCAACAUAGAUACAUUAUAUAGCAGACUCCAAAUCACAAAGUGACACCAAACUAUUAAAACCAUCAUGUCUCGACAAUGGUUGCUACAAACCAUCGCCAAAACGAAACAUAACAUUGUUUAAUAAAGAACUUCAAUGGAAUAAAUUUCCAACCACUAUACAUCUGAAAUUUCAUGAAAAAUAACCAGAUAAUGGACAGUAACAAAACUAAACUCAAUCACUAUGAAACACUAAUAUAGAUACGAACAUAUCGGACAAGACACUAUUGCUAUCAAAUUGACUCCCAUAAUAAUUUGAGAAAAUGACAUAGUUGCUUGUGACCCAAUGUGUCAGACUGUCAGUGUCGGUUUCAGACACCAACAUUCAAGAUUGGUUUCAACUUGCUGAGUCUCGGAAUCAGUUUUGUGGGCGUCAACAAGCUAACACAUGUCGGAAGUAUGUUUGUUUAGAAAUGCUGGUGCUAACCAAUCAAAAACAAUUAGAAUCAAAAGCCUCCAAACCAGACCUUACAAUUGAAUAAAUUUCCAAUCACGGUACACCUGAAAUUUCAUGAAAAAUAGCCAGACAAUGGACAGUAACCAAUCACACUAUAAAACUGAGACAAAUUCUAACAUCGGACACAACACUAAUUUUUUGCAAGAAAAUGUUGGUUGGAAAACACUGCUAAUUCUACUCACAAGAAAAACACUCACUACUAUAAACAUAUAAAAAGCAAAACCACACGCACGAGGUACUCAUUGUUCUGUUCUGUUCUGUUACAAACAGCACCGUGAAACUCUUUCUCUUUCUCUAACCUCUUUUCGUUUCACUCCAUGGAUGCAAACCUCGCUGGCUUUUCUCAUUAUCCCCGCACUUCUCUUCGUUUCAUUCAUUUCACUCUUACUAUGUUUCCUUCAUCACCGCCGUUCCAACACAACGCCACCACCGACGACUGUUACCGAAGCAUCGGUAAUUAUCGACCGACUCCCUCUCUUCCGUUUCUCCACGCUUUUCACUCUUAUUGCAUAAGCAGAUGGCUCAACACGAAUUUGUCUUGUCCUCUCCGAUUCCAACACCGACCUCUUGGCCAUUCUCCGGUCACCUCCGUUUGACAGUAUCACCGUCCAAAUAGGAAACGUGAGCCUCGUGCGGGAAACCACCACCGAUCUCGAAUCCGUUUGACGGAGUCGUCGGAAGUUCCGUUAAGUGCAACGGCGUCGUUUGGUAGCAGUCGCAGGUUUGAGGUAUUUGACAGAAAUGGUGAAGAGAUAAGCGUUUCAUUUUAUUUGAUCUUGCUUUACCAUUAAAACUGCAAUGGAGCUUUCCAUUUUCAUUUUACUGUUUGAUUUGAUUACAUGCAAUCCCAAUUAGAACUCAGAUUACUGCCACGUCAGACAAAUUGGUGCAAAGGAACUUUUGAUUUUUCAUUUUUGAAGUAUUUUGGAACCUUGUAAAUGGCUGAAUUUUGGUGGUAAUCACAUCUUUGUCUUUAUCUUUAAAUAUAAAUGCUAGAUAGUCUGCGGGUAGCCCUAGUUAACCAUAAUCCUUUUUUUUUAUUAGCGUAAAAAAUCUUUAUGGAAAAAAACUAUGUAAAAUUCGAACUCAAGACCAAGUGCCUUCUUCUCAACAUUUUGACCACUAAAAUACUAACAAUUUUCUUGAUUUAAUUUUGUUUCUAUUAAUUAAUAUCCAAUAUUAAAUCUCUUUUUCGUUUCCCACUAUCACAUUAUCCAUAACCCACUAACCACCUAUUAAUUUCUACCCACACAGUUUUUUUUCUAUUAUAAUUUCUACCCACAGAGUUAUUAUUAUCAACAUCACAACUUCCCACUAACCUUAAUGCAUGACUAAACUUUUUGACAAAUUAUCUCGUCAUUAAUCAUUAUUUCAAGAUAGCUGCUUAUAGCAUUUUUAUAAGCAAUAUAUGUUUGAUUUCAUUUUUAUUCUUUAUUUUUUUUUAUGAAUGAUAUAGUCCAUUAAAUGAAUGAUUUAGUUUUUUUAAAACAUUAUUGUAUUCCAUUAAAUGUUUUUAAUAGGCCAAAUACCUCCCGGGUCUUUUAAAUUUUAUGUUUGUCUCAGAUAGAUCCUUUAAGUUUCUAAGGUUUCGGAUGGUCAUUUAAGUUUCGAGUUUGUUUCGGAUAGGUCUUUAAGUUUAUAAGGUUUCAGAUAGGUCCUUUAAGUUUCAAGUUUGUUUCAGAUAGGUCCUUUAAGUUUCAAGUUUGUUUCAGAUAUGUUCUUUCUAUCAACCUCUCUUAAGCCAAAGUUAAAGAACCUAUCUGAAACAAACUCGAAACUUAAAGGACCUAUCUGAAACCUUAGAAACUUAAAGGACUUAUAAGAAACAAACGUAAAACUUGAAGAACUUGGGGAGGUAUUUCGCCUUUCUAAUAAUAUAGUCAAUUUGAUAACUAUACAUGAAAUUGUAAAAAACCAUUAAAAAAAAUGAAACUCUAAAAAACCCAUGCUCGCACGGAUUAAAGUCUUAGUACACUAGUAGAUGACUAUCAUUAUUUUAAGGUCAUGUUAACCGAUCUCUCUGAACACCGGUUAAGGAUACAAAAAAAAAAAAAAAAUUAUCAAAAAAGAUUUUUUUUUUAAUUUUAUGGAUCAAUUAAACAAUUUUCAAUACAAUAAUUAUUAUAUAAUUUUUUUUUUUAAGUAUCAUUAACGAUUGCAGUUAACUUUUCCCUUAUUUUAAUUAUUUGUUUCAUAUAUUGAAAAAUUGAAAGUAUUAGACUACCGAAUUGUGAAAGAUAUGUCUGCACAUUUGGAAGCAUAUGUAAUUGGAAGAGAACGAACCUAGACGGAUUAUUUGAGAGGUACAUAACAACAUAUAUAAAACCAUAGGCACUUUCCACUUUUAGUUUCUAACAUAAAAUUAGUUACAAAGCUUCAACUUCAACUUCGGUACCGAAAAAUGGCAGGUAUUGUUGGAUCUGAUUCAAUUCCUCUUCUUACUCCUUACAAAAUGGGUAAAUUCAAUCUAUCUCAUAGGUAUAUAAAUAUAUUUUCACUCAUCAUUCCAUAUUCAAUUUCAAAGUGCUUAAUUGCUCAAAUAUUCACGCACACCAUGUGUUUGUGUUAUUUACUCAUUUUCAUUUCAGAGUUGUUUUGGCACCUCUCACAAGACAGAGAUCCUACGGCAACGUUCCACAACCUCAUGCUAUCCUCUACUACUCUCAAAGAGCCUCUAAAGGUGGUCUUCUCAUAGCCGAAGCUACCGGUGUCUCUGAUACCGCUCAAGGCUAUCCAAACACGCCUGGUAUAUGGACUAAAGAGCAAGUCGAUGCAUGGAAACCCAUUGUGGAUGCUGUUCAUGACAAAGGCGGUGUAUUUUUCUGUCAAAUUUGGCAUGUUGGAAGAGUUUCUGAUACUGGUAUGUUCUAUUUCAUCAAAUUAUCACGAACCAAUAAGCAAAACUACCGCGAGUUGGCACACAAGUAUUGAUUCAUAGUUCCCUUGUGGACUGAGUGAAUCAUGUGACCAGGAGUUCGUUUUUCUUUGCAACAGUCGUAAUAUAGAUUUAACAUGACAUAAAAUAUAAAUGGGGAAUUAUGUUUAUUUGAACCUAUUACUCUGAUUAACAUUCCUUUGUCUUUAGUCAAAUUGUAAUUGUGGAAAGAAUUGGUGUAAAAUGUUGUUAACAGAAAAAUGAUAUGAUAUAUACUAGGACAGUAGGAUGCACAUAUUACCUUAAGCGAGGAAAAUUGAAUGAUCAAUUUGUAAGUAGUGAGCAGCGCAAGCUAAACUGACUUUUGGUUAAUAAAUGUGUUAUGUGUCACGUUGCCUUUGUUUUCAACCUGUUGUGAAAAUAUACUUAUGGCAUCAAUCAAUUAAACUGCUUACAUUAAAAUGGGUUUGAAUGGAGUGUGAGAUUGUUGUUAUCGAGUAUUAUUAAGGGGAAACUACAUUCUGAUUUUUAACUAUCACACAUAAAUGUUCUCAUGCUUGUGAUGUACACACUCAUUGUAUGCUAAUUUUCCAUGUUAUUCUCAACAGUUUAUCAGCCAAAUGGGCAAGCACCAAUAUCUUCUACAGACAAGCCACUAAAACCACAAAUUCGAAGUAAUGGUAUUGAUGUUGCAAAAUUCACACCACCAAGGCGGCUAAGGACAGAUGAAAUUCCAAACAUUGUCAAUGACUUCAGACUCGCUGCAAGAAAUGCUAUUGAAGCUGGUAACUUUACUAAUCUUUACAAAUGUCUCAAAAAUUAAUAAAUUAUUUAAUGUAUCAUAAUACAAUGUUUGUGAGACGUAGAGAUUUUUGUUACUGGCACUAGGACAUUUUCCAAUUAUGUAUCAUACUUAGUGGGGUACAAAUUGCAGGAUUUGAUGGGGUUGAAAUCCAUGGAGCUCAUGGCUACCUCCUUGAACAAUUCAUGAAAGAUAAAGUGAAUGACAGGACAGAUGAGUAUGGUGGAUCCCUUGAGAACCGUUGUCGGUUUGCUUUGGAAGUUGUUGAAGCUGUUGCAAAUGAGAUAGGAACAGAAAGAGUUGGAAUAAGAUUAUCACCUUUUGCAGAGUAUUCAGAAUGUGGAGACUCCAACCCUAAAGAAUUGGGACUUUAUAUGGUUAAUGCCCUCAAUAAAUACGGUAUUCUUUAUUGUCACAUGGUGGAACCAAGAAUGAUAACUGUUGGUGAAAAAACUG
rnacentral:lncRNA from 1 species